UACGUAGGUGGCAAGCGUUGUCCGGAAUUAUUGGGCGUAAAGCGCGCGCAGGUGGUUUCUUAAGUCUGAUGUGAAAGCCCACGGCUCAACCGUGGAGGGUCAUUGGAAACUGGGGAACUUGAGUGCAGGAGAGAAGAGUGGAAUUCCACGUGUAGCGGUGAAAUGCGUAGAGAUGUGGAGGAACACCAGUGGCGAAGGCGGGUCUCUGGACAGUUCCGUGACACUGAGGCACGAAGGCCAGGGGAGCAAACGGG
rnacentral:rRNA from 1 species